CCUACGGGGGGCAGCAGUGAGGAAUAUUGGUCAAUGGACGAGAGUCUGAACCAGCCAAGUAGCGUGAAGGAUGACUGCCCUAUGGGUUGUAAACUUCUUUUAUAAAGGAAUAAAACGAGGCACGUGUGCCUUUUUGCAUGUACUUUAUGACUAAGGAUCGGCUAACUCCGUGCCAGCAGCCGCGGUAAUACGGAGGAUCCGAGCGUUAUCCGGAUUUAUUGGGUUUAAAGGGAGCGUAGAUGGGUUGUUAAGUCAGUUGUGAAAGUUUGCGGCUCAACCGUAAAAUUGCAAUUGAUACUGGCAGUCGUGAGUACAGUUGAGGUAGGCGGAAUUCGUGGUGUAGCGGUGAAAUGCUUAGAUAUCACGAAGAACCCCGAUUGCGAAGGCAGCUUACUAAACUGUGACUGACAUUGAUGCUCGAAAGUGUGGGUAUCAAACAGGAUUAGAUACCCUUGUAGUC
rnacentral:rRNA from 1 species